rnacentral:lncRNA from 1 species
UGUACAUAUAAAAUCAAAUCUGUACAUGUAUAUUCAUACUGGUUUUGAAAAUCAAUAAAAUGUAUGGUUCUGAUACACACAUAGAUAUAUACAUAUAGAAUUAACUAGCACAUUUUAAAUUUUGUAUAAAGUCUAUUCUUUGAUUUCAAGACAUAAAAAUUUAAAAACUUAAAAAUAGAAAAAGAACCUAAAUAAUUUUUGAUUGUCUUUAUAGAGUUUUAGAGGGGCAAGGACUUUUUUUAUAGAUUUUUUUAGAUGGGCAAGGACUUUUUUUCAGAAUUUAAAAGGAUGGGCAAUAACUUUUUUAAUGAAACAAUAUUAA